GUGGGGAAUCUUGCGCAAUGGGCGAAAGCCUGACGCAGCCAUGCCGCGUGAAUGAUGAAGGUCUUAGGAUUGUAAAAUUCUUUCACCGGGGACGAUAAUGACGGUACCCGGAGAAGAAGCUCCGGCUAACUUCGUGCCAGCAGCCGCGGUAAUACGAAGGGGGCUAGCGUUGCUCGGAAUUACUGGGCGUAAAGGGCGCGUAGGCGGACAGCUUAGUCAGAGGUGGAAGCCCAGGGCUCAACCUUGGAAUUGCCUUUGAUACUGGCUGUCUUGAGUGUGGGAGAGGGGAGUGGAACUCCGAGUGUAGAGGUGAAAUUCGUAGAUAUUCGGAAGAACACCAGUGGCGAAGGCGACUCACUGGCCCAAUACUGACGCUGAGGCGCGAAAGCGUGGGGAGCAAACAGGAUUAGAAACCCCAGUAGUCC
rnacentral:rRNA from 1 species